rnacentral:rRNA from 1 species
UACGGAGGGUGCAAGCGUUGUUCGGAAUUACUGGGCGUAAAGCGCGCGUAGGCGGCUAUUUAAGUCAGAUGUGAAAGCCCAUGGCUCAACCAUGGACGUGCAUUUGAUACUGGAUAGCUUGAGUACUGGAGGGGGUGGUGGAAUUCCCGGUGUAGAGGUGAAAUUCGUAGAUAUCGGGAGGAAUACCGGUGGCGAAGGCGACCACCUGGCCAGAUACUGACGCUGAGGUGCGAAAGCGUGGGGAGCAAACAGG